UUUUUGUGGAAACUUGGUUCAGUAAUUUCACUUUAAUGCCAAAGAAAAGGUUAUUAGUCAGUUAUCGAAUGCUUUAUUU